AAUUCGAUUAGUUUGAUCAUGGCUCAGGACGAACGCUGGCGGCGCGCUUAACACAUGCAAGUCGAGCGAGAACCGGAGCUUGCUCCGGGGACAGCGGCGAACGGGUGAGUAACACGUGGGUAAUCUGCCCUCGAUUCUGGGAUAGCCCGGGGAAACUCGGAUUAAUACCGGAUAGCCUUUUCGAGCUCUCGAGCUUGAAAGAAAAGGUAGCUUCGGCCUCCGAUCGAGGAUGAGCCCGCGGCGGAUUAGCUUGUUGGCGGGGUAAUGGCCCACCAAGGCGACGAUCCGUAGCUGGUCUGAGAGGACGAUCAGCCACACUGGGACUGAGACACGGCCCAGACUCCUACGGGAGGCAGCAGUGGGGAAUCUUGCGCAAUGGGCGAAGGCCUGACGCAGCGACGCCGCGUGAGGGAAGAAGGCCUUAGGGUUGUAAACCUCUUUCAGGAGGGACGAAGCCACUCGGGUUAAUAGCCCAGAGGGUGACGGUACCUCCAGAAGAAGCCCCGGCUAACUACGUGCCAGCAGCCGCGGUAAUACGUAGGGGGCAAGCGUUGUCCGGAUUUAUUGGGCGUAAAGAGCGUGUAGGCGGCCUGAUAGGUCGGUUGUGAAAACUGGAGGCUCAACCUUCAGACGUCGACCGAAACCAUCUGGCUAGAGUCCGGAAGAGGAGAGUGGAAUUCCUGGUGUAGCGGUGAAAUGCGCAGAUAUCAGGAAGAACACCCGUGGCUAAGGCGGCUCUCUAGUACGGUACUGACGCUGAGAC
rnacentral:rRNA from 1 species